UACAGAGGUCUCAAGCGUUGUUCGGAUUCAUUGGGCGUAAAGGGUGCGUAGGCGGCGGGGUAAGUCGGGUGUGAAAUCUCAGAGCUCAACUCUGAAAUGGCACUUGAUACUGCUCUGCUAGAGGACUGGAGAGGAGAUUGGAAUUCACGGUGUAGCAGUGAAAUGCGUAGAUAUCGUGAGGAAGACCGGUGGCGAAGGCGGAUCUCUGGACAGUUCCUGACGCUGAGGCGCGAAG
rnacentral:rRNA from 1 species